UGCCUAUUGCUGUGUACAGAGGUGUCACACAGGGGAGGUUAACUUCAGGCUGCUGUUUUGUGCUGCUGUUUUGUACUGCUGUUGCUGCUAGUGGAACUGGUGCUGGUUUGUUGUUUUUUUAUGUUUAGUAGAGAAAGAACAGCUAUAGUUACAGAGAAGAAAGUUGGACUAGGAGGGUAGAAGAUCUGUAAAGACCUGCAUUUGCAAUCUGCCAUAGGCUGUAGACUAGAGAAAAGUAGGAUAGCAGCCAACUUUUCUAUGCAGGCCUCAACCUAGAACCAACCUGGAUACACCUCAAAACAGCACAUAGCUAGCCAAUGAGACUUCAAUACCCUGGAUAUGGAGAAAAGGAGACCAUAACGAAGAGGGCAGAUCAACCUGCAACUUCAACCCUCACAGCAAGAAACAACAAAUAUACAGAGACUUUUAGAGCUCACUUUACUCAACCCACAACUCACAAAAUACACUCUACCUAAUUUGAAGCCUCACCAACUCAACCCACCAUCCCUAAGCAAAGUACCAGCUUAGAACUUGCAAGCAAAGUGUUAGUAGAAAAGGACACAUCUCUGAUUACAAAUACACUCAAACACCACCCCCACAACACUGGUCAACCCAGGAAAUAGCUGAGAAACUCACAGCUAAGAAAGCCAGGACAACAGACAACAGGCUAGGGAAACCACAUGUCAUAAGCCCGAAGAGGUAUUCAAUUGUCAUCCUACUCAUUUAGGUAUUGCAUGCUCAUACAAAUAGGGAAACCACAUGUCAUAAGUUAACAUGGCAACUUUCUGUUUUCUUGUUGUCCUAGGACUCUAAUGUGUGAUGUCAUUCACUUUUUUACAUCAAUGACUAUUUUUCAUGCUGGAUGAGGAAAGAUGAAAAAUCCUGUUGCAGUGAGUCACAAUGUUGGAAUGAUUAUUAAAUUGCCAUCAAAUGAGCUAAAAAUAUAUUUCAGGAAGUUUGUCCUAGUUAUUUAAUGUUCUGAAUCAAUUAAUAUACUAGUUUGAUUUUAUUUGGUGAAUAUGAUUACUCUUUAAAUUAUGUAUGAUGUUUAAGAACCCUGUGAAUUAUUUCUGUACUGACGUGGACACUUCUAGAACAAUAAUCCUUUCUAUUUUCAGUGAUUUAUUUCACAAAAUUUAUAUUAACAAAUACCUGCUACAUCUUGAUUGAAUUUAUCAUAAUUGAUGCUCUGCAUUGCAUAUCUUCAUCUAGAAUACCAGGACUCUGAGUGGUCUACAGAAUGACAGUUGCUUUAAUGAGUACAGGUUACUAAAAUUGGUCGAGAUGCAGUCCUGUAUGUCGAGUCUCUUUUCUUGUAUAAAAAGCUCAAUGCCAAUGUAUAAGCUAGACAAGAUGCAAGGGGAACAACAAAGUAAGGGUUGCAGGUCACUGGAAUUGGCGUUUUGCAUUCUUUGGGGAGGCAAUUGUGAUGGUUCCAUUUGCUAUUCUAGGUUUUGUUAUAAAACCUUUACAGUUGAAAGGUUUUUACCCUGCUGGAUCAAAAAAAGCAUUGACUGGUACAGAGAUAGCUGUCAUAGAACUUAAAGAGAUUGAGAAGUUUAUGAGGAAGACCAAGGAUCAAGCAGGCAUGCAGGUUGAUGAAAAUGAUUAUUCAUCAGAGGAAUCUUAUUGACAAACACUUUUAUUGGCAAUGGUGGAAAAUAGUUUGGGCUGCAUCAGAAGAUUUGAUUUUGUGUUUUUGGAAAUAUUUUGACAUAGGAUUUUGGUAAAUGAUUUAUGGAUUAAAUGUUUAGCAUCAAAAUAUUUGGUGUUGUGUUUUUGCAAAUAUUUUGAUAUAGGAUUUUAGUAAAUGACUUGUUGGUUAGAUGUUUAACAUUAAAAUAUUUGGUUGUAAUUUUGAAAAUAUUUUGACAUAGGAUUUGGUAAUGUAUUUAUGGGUUUGAUA